UACGGGGGGGGCAAGCGUUGUUCGGAAUUACUGGGCGUAAAGGGCUCGUAGGUGGCCAACUAAGUCAGACGUGAAAUCCCUCGGCUUAACCGGGGAACUGCGUCUGAUACUGGAUGGCUUGAGUUUGGGAGAGGGAUGCGGAAUUCCAGGUGUAGCGGUGAAAUGCGUAGAUAUCGGGAGGAACACCGGUGGCGAAGGCGGCUCUCUGGGCCUUACCUGACGCUGAGGCGCGAAAGCUAGGGGAGCAAACAGG
rnacentral:rRNA from 1 species